UAUGCCGUCAGUCCCUGUAGGCUUCACUGAAGUCAAACUUUCAGUUUCAUCUGCAGCCUCCUCUUCACGUGCAGUUUAUCUAAAAAGGGUGCAGCCACAGACCUGCAGAGCUGGAUGCAGACAUGAAUGUAAAAUACUCAUCAGUACCUAUGUACACAUAUCUGUAAAGUGUCCAAAAUAUCAUGCAAGUAAAUACAGGUCAUUUAAAGUAAAUCAAUGCCUCAGUCAACAUUGUGCUGUAGGCUGCAAAGUUCCUCAAACUCAGUUUCCCGUAAGUUACAGCAGACCCACAGAAGAUCUUUGUUCUCCAAGUUCCCGUCAUGCUAUGAUCCAGAAGAGAUGCAAAACAGUCUGUUUUGGUUAAGUAGAUAUUUGUUCAUUUAAUUCAGUCACUCCUAACUGAUAUGCAAAUCUUUCCAGUAGGUGUUUAACAUACAAACUGAGUGUGUGUUGAUGGGAUUAAGUAGAAAUCUAGAGUCUAUUCUUUAAUUUAAGACGGAACCACAGUGUAGAAAUCAAUGAGACAAAGCAGGACGGCAGCAAGGUUCUGUCCAUCAGAGAAUUUCAGGGGUUUUCUGCAGAGCGUCCGCUUGCUGUGCUUUUUCACAACUGUGCUCCUUUUAAAAAUGUCAAUGUCCACGAUGAGCAUCUUUUAAUAUUCCUAGGACCUUUUAAAGCUGGACUGCUCCAAUUCUUCAGGGUGUCUUUCACGCUGAAUGUCCACAGCUGAGAUUCAAUGCUGUAAUCCAAAAUGACGAGUGCAGCAAGGCACUGCAAGGUAGAACACCAGGCUGACAAAGAAAAACAUUGGUUUACAAGUACGUUUUUGAAAAGUCUUUUAAAAUACACCCCAGGUAAGUCAGCAGCCAGAAAAAAAA